rnacentral:lncRNA from 1 species
GUGACAAAGUUUUCCAGCCCGUUCCCGUCCUGUAUUCAUCGCUAUGUGCGUCGGCGCGAGUCGUAGCGGCGUGCCGUCCGAUCAGGGCUUAUCUAGGCUUGUUUACUUCCCAAGUUGGGAGUUGCAAAAUUGGCAUUUUGCCAUAAAUGCGACACUGUAGCGUUUCGUUUAUAUUUGUGAAUUAUUGUCCAAACAUUGACUAAUUAGGCUCAAAAGAUUCGUCUCGCAAAGUACAACAAAACUGUGCAAUUAGUUUUUGAUUUCGU